rnacentral:lncRNA from 1 species
AACAGAUAGAAAAUGCUUUGUUUCGGACAUUUUUCGGAGCAACGCAAAUGGUCAGCAGCUGUAGAGACAGCUGCCAAGGCAGAUGGAACUAUUUCAUGUAAUAUAUAUUAUAUUUAUACAUACAAGUUAUAUCCACACGAGGGAUGGAAUCCGCUACAGUUUCUCAUUAUCAGAUAUUAUUCAAUAUUUGAUUCCGAAUGUCCUCGAAUAGAGAAAACACGAGAAAACUUUUUCUACUUUACAUAAAGGAGGAACGUACAUCUCGUUCUCACGAUAUUUCCUUCACGGUGACAUCUUUCAGAACGCACAUUAUAUAAAAUAGAUGUCGAAGAUGAAGUCGAUUGAUUAGAUGACGAUACCAUGGAAAUUCUAUUGGUGGUAUGAUUAGAUAGAGAAUGGGAUGAUUGCUUAUGGUCAGGCUGAAUAGAAUUCAUAUGGAUCAGAUUCAUCAUCCCUUCUGUAGAAGCCCCGGUAUAGCACGGUGGAGAAGGUGGGAUAAGACAGGGCCACAGGGCAAGAUGGUGUACAUAUGAUUUCUCUGAAAUAGUUAUCACCACCUAAAAAAUAUUUUGUCGACUUCUUACGUGGACCCUUAGGAAUUAUUGGAAAGAACGCCGACAUUUUCGUAACUGUUGUUUUCGGGCUACAGGAGGAGAAAGGAUUUUCUCUGUUGUUUGAAUGGCUUGAUCUUAUUUUAGAAGAAAUUGGAAUGUAUGACAAGACCAUGGUUCGA